CACUUCGUCCGCUUCCAUCCUUACGCCAAGGUAAUGAAACGUUUGCUUCCUUGUGGCGUAUCUCACUCAAUAGCCAUUAAAUUUGCAGAUAUUUACAAUGACGGCUGAAAAGAGAUAAUGACGAGAAAGCAAAUUGUUCUUCUAUCCGGUGGGUGAUUCUUCCCGUCUGAUGGGCGUCUUCCGUCUUUUCGCCACGUAGGUCGGCUCAAACCGACUGUGCCAUGUUUCAUGGCAGUGAGCCGGUCUCUUACUAGUUGACUUAUUGAGCAAACGCAAGGAAAUAUAUAUGUUGAAUUGGAUGGACUAGGGAGAACCAGGAGGACAUAACACUGAUGUUACAUCCAAUUGCCUCAAACCGCCCCUCAUCUUCAUACCCAAGGGUGUGCAGAUUUCAGCGUCAUGGACUUUUCCAUGGAGCCCAUUCUUGAAAGGAAGGUCGAGGUCAAAACGUUCUCUUGUACCAGUCUCCCGAAACAAGUUAAUGAGGCUCAUUGGGCCGACCUCGAUCCUGACAUCACCACCACCACCCCCAUCUUGCCACUUAGUUAAUGGAAGACUUGAAGCUGUUGUGAGUCAUGGCACUUAUCAUUCUGCUCUCUCACCUCCUGGAUUUUUCUAUUCUUUCGCCGCAUUUCCGCUUCUUCCGCUUCCAUCCUUACUCCAAGGUAGUGAAACGUUUGCUUCCUUGUGGCGUAUCUCACUCAAUAGCCAUUAAAUUUGCAGGUAAUAGAUUAUUGAACCAAUUGACGUACUUGUUCAGCUUUAUAAGAUUAAUUAUUAUCUACAUCUAACCUCUUUCUGAUCACUAUCAUUGGAUGGUGUUCUGUUCACAAUGAGUAUAUCAUCCUGAUAUGAUAUGGAAAAGAGAAGUGCAAGAUCACGGAAUUGUGUUCAUUGAAAUGCCCUAAGAAGAUUUAUAAUAACAACGUCUUGUUGAAACCAUGAAAUUGAUGGACAUCCCAACGUGCAGCCUCUUUGGCGAUCAGUCAUAGUAAUGCAUGAAAAUUAGCUCCUCAUCCUCUACCUGGAGAUGGACGAUGCCACAUAGAACCAGGUUGAUUGUUUAUUGCGGUGUAGCGAUGCUCUUGCUCCUAUAUAACAAGUUUGCUCCCGCUCAUUCCAAGUUAACUUGGAAUGAUAUUUACGAAA